ACGCAACGCCGCGUGGAGGAUGAAGGCCUUCGGGUCGUAAACUCCUGUUGAUCGGGAAGAAUGGGCUCCGGGUUAAUACUCCGGGGCAAUGACGGUACCGAUUGAGGAAGCCACGGCUAACUCUGUGCCAGCAGCCGCGGUAAUACAGAGGUGGCAAGCGUUGUUCGGAAUUACUGGGCGUAAAGGGCGCGUAGGCGGCCUUCUUAGUCAGACGUGAAAUUCCUAGGCUUAACCUAGGAACUGCGUCUGAUACUGGAAGGCUCGAGUUCGGGAGAGGAAUGUGGAAUUCCAGGUGUAGCGGUGAAAUGCGUAGAUAUCUGGAGGAACACCGGUGGCGAAGGCGGCAUUCUGGACCGAAACUGACGUUGAGGCGCGAAAGCCAGGGGAGCAAACGGGAUUAGAUACCCCGGUAGUCCUGGCCCUAAACGAUGAGUGCUUGGUGUGGCGGGUAUCGAUCCCUGCCGUGCCGAAGCUAACGCAUUAAGCACUCCGCCUGGGGAGUACGGUCGCAAGGCUG
rnacentral:rRNA from 1 species